GAGAGAGAGAGAGAGAGAGAGAGAGAGAGAGAGAGAGAGAGAGAGAGAGAGAGAGAGAGAGAGAGAGAGAGAGAGAGAGAGAGAGCACAGGAAAAUGUUUCAUUGAAAUUAUUGCUUUUAUUUAUUUAUUUAUUGAUUGUAAACGUAUGGGAGUGUUGGGGUAUGGAGUUGCCUGUUGUUCACUGAAUGCCACGGUCUGGGCUAGGUUAGGGUUCAGGGGGUCAGGGAUCAGAGGGGAGGGUUCGCAGACACACAGACCCUCUCUCAGUGCGGCCCUGCAGCCUUACAUACUGUACCAACGCGGUUCAACCACAGUUAAACCGCGUACAUAGUUUCAAUGUAUGUAUUUCCCAGAAGGCCUUUGUGAAUCAUUCAGACGUGUGCCAACGACACGCAGCACUGUGAGGCAGGGACAGCACCCAGCACCCUCCAUACUACUACCACUGCUACAUUAGGAUACCACUACUGCUAUCCCAACAACACUGCUAGGCUUGUAGACAACCAAUUCUAAGCCUCCACAACCCCCCCUGGAGGCCAGUAUGGGACUGAGAUGAGUGGACAGACAGCUAGGCAGACAAAGAAAAGAGAGACGGACUGAUUCUUCAUGCAGCCCCGGGGACCCAUUUCACACCCAACCUAGAGCUCUACCCGAGCAGCAUGUACAUACCUACAGAAUGUGUUUGUGUGUUCAGUUCUUUUAGACUUGCGUGUUUGUGUGAUGCAGAGACAGAGGGGGAGUGUGUGUUUGUGUGUUCAGAUCUUUUAGACUUGCGUGUGCGUGCAUAUGUGUGUUUGUGUGAUGCAGAGACAGAGGGGGAGUGUGUGUGUGUGUGUGAGGGGGGCUGCUUGAGAGAGAAUAGUAAAAAAAAAAAUCUGAGCCAUAUUCAAUGCAAUAUGAAUGAAUGAUUUUUGUGCAUUUCCCUAUUCAUGUUUACAUUACAUUAAUGUUUUAACAGUGCUUUAUGGCACCAAGGAGUGUUGAAUGUGCAAUUUCUUACCGUGCUGGUGUGUGUGUGGCUGUGUUUCUGUUGUUGUGGACACCUCAAAGGGGUGGGUUUAGUUUGGUUGACUUUAUAUGAUUUAAACACUAAAACUACUGUUAGGUAUUGUAAAAACAGCUGUAAUGUGUUAAGAUGACUGUUCUGAAAACCAAGAGAGAUGUACUUUAGUACUUGACCUUGUUUUAUUUAUUCAGCGUCUACCAGUGGUCGAAUAUGACCAGGGAAAUUGAAAUGUUUUGAUGUUGUUCUGCCUCCCUCCAUCCCCCACUACCCUGCCUGGACGUGCUUAGCGCCAUAAACCAUAGAGAUAGACUGAGGAAUCUAAAUGAAUGUAACCCGUUUUAGCAUGGACAUUUCCAUUAAGUUUUCAACCAUUUUCUUUUAGUCAACUGGGUGGGGAUUCCUAUGGUUGGGACUUUCAGCCAAUGAUCCGAGCAUUGUCUUCCACUUCUUCAAAUUGGGUUGCCUGUGGUUUGCAAAUGGCUUUAAGAUAUAUUACUGCCAUCUAGUGGCCACAAUAAAUAAACGACACAAGAUUUUGUUCAGGAUUCUAGAACUGCAGUUGGUGGUAAAUUACCAAUACUAGCUUUUGACUUUUUUUCAAAUACAAAUUGAGAAGAAAAUUGACUACUCUAAAAUGGAGAUCCUCAUGCAGUCACAUAUGCCAUUUUGGCACAGAUACAAAGAUGAGUCCUCUAUCUAUCUCUAUGAGACAAACAUCCAUUAUUUAUGAUUAUUGUGAAUAAAUUGGAUAUGAUUUUGUAUUAUUUUGUGUUCUUUAUUAUUCAACAUUGUUGUGCAUGCCAUUUUCCUUCCCUCCUUAGAAGUUGCUACCACAUAAUAAUGGCAUCACAAACUGGCAUUAUUAUUAUUAUGUUAUUAUAAUUGUUAAGAUUUGAAUAGUUUUAUACCUAAGUAUAUGGGUAAGGUUUGAAAUGUUUAAUGGUUCUACUUUUGCUUUUGUAUUUUUCAGACCAUGGGAUUACUUGAAUGUUGUUGUUUAUUUUGUAUUCUCUAAAAGUCGUAUAGUGCUGCCUCUCACAACCUUUCCUGUGUUUUGAUUGGUCAUUGACGUGAUGUCACGGUGAGGUCACAGUGACGAGGGCCUGUGAGGAGAGUCUCUUGAAGUCUCCCAACGUUCUUAGUGUCUGUGGAGAUGAAUUUGAACACUGGUGUGGUUGAAUAUCAAGGCAGCCUGCCCCUAACCCCAGGGAAUAACCUUAGAGAACAUAAUAAGAGAGAACCUAGUGGGAAUGCUGUAUAUUCAGUCUACUGAGAGACCUUAUCAGUAGUCAGUUAGUCUCUGCAGUGUGCCUGUUAGAUAACCUGUAAUUAUAAUGAUUCAGACCGGUGUCUGUGUCAAAUACUGGAGGUGUGCUUUGCUUGUCUGGUACAAUGGAACCAAUAGAAUAGUAGCAAAAGUGCAAACUCCACCCAACCUGCAUGCUAGUCAAGCUAAAGGAAGUGCACCUCAAGUAUUUAACGUAUCGGACCUAGGUCUGACCUUUACCCUCUUUAUAACCCAGUAAUACCCAGUACUACAGGGCAUUGAUAAGGCCGGUACAGACAUGGAGAACAAUAGCUGCUGGUCAUACUGGGUACUACUACUUCUAGAUUUCUUUAGCUUCUUCUGAGUUUACACUGAUUUCCCUCAAUCCCCAUUUUCCCCCCACAGGGAUUGGUUAGUGCCAUAUUGAGUCUUUCAGUGUUACAGUAACAAAGAUGUUGCAGAUGUUACAAGGACUUUCUGAAAUAAUCGGACCUCAAACCAAAAACACUCUUCUCCCACAGAUAUCUUCCAACGGGGACUUAAAAGGUUUUCAUCCAAAAUCACUGUUGUUCAACUGUUAAAUGUUCUGCAAGUUAUUUUGGGAAAUAAAAUGACUUUUGAGAGGCAUAUAAAGCACGCCGGGGUGUACAAUUGUCACAUCUGAAUAAUCAUAUAAUUUUAGAAGAAGAUUAAAGUUUUCAUUGAAACA
ensembl:lncRNA